ensembl:lincRNA uncharacterized LOC110309167
GGAAGCAGCAAGAAACUGCAGCACACCACUAAAGGGAUUUUGGUGCAUUUCUCUCUAAGGAGUCCAGGCAAAUGCAGCUCCACUAUGCAAUGUCAACGGAAACCACAAACAUUUAAAGAAUAAUCACACUCUCCUCUCUUGAUGGAACAUCAUUCGGGAGUACUACUGCCUCCAAGAGAAAUGUCAUGAGGAUUUACAGAAAAAGGAAGCUUUGGGAAAAGAAACUCAGUGAGCCUCUUCAAAAAUGCAGUUUUGCUCCUUUGAAGUCGGCUGUCUCUGGCUAGCCAUAACUGUAAUUACAGCCAAGCUUAUAGUCACAGAGGAAAUGUCUAGAAGAAGCAGGACUUUGAAAUGACAUAAAGCACCAUCUCACAAUUCCAAAAACAAAGUAUUUACAGAUGAAGAUCAUAAGCAAAAACAACAAACAAAGCAAAGCAGGAAAACAAAAACAAAACAAACAAACAAAAAAAAAAACCCAAGCAACAAGAACAAGAACAACAAAAACAACAACAAAACCCCCAGCUAAGUGGAAAGGAAAGAGAGAGGAAUAGAGUUGGGAAGAAAUGCAAUUUGUACUUUGAGUCAAUGAUGGUAUAGACAGGUGAUUAUGCAUUCCUCAGGCCUGCCUAGGAGAAAGUCCAUCCGGGAGUGAUGGGGGAUACCUUAACAGGAUGAUGAUGAUCCUUGUAGGGAUUGGAUGCAUGAAAUUAACCUUUCCUAGUUUAAGAGGGAAUAUGUUUGUUUUUUAAAGUGCCCUGCAAUAUAUGAAAAGUGAUCAUUUCUCUUACAAUAUGAGCAUAGCUAAUACAACCCAAUCAUAAUAUAAUAGUUAUAAGUACAAAGAAAUCAAUAAGAUGAGCCUUAAUUGGAUUCAGAUGAGAUCUAGAAAGCAAGACUUUUUUUAUCCACCACUAAACAGUCAAGGACCUUGAAGUUUAGGGAAAUUCAGACUCACUCUUAAGGGUGUGUAGUUAAAGCAUGACAGAUAGUCAGGACUUCGGAACCCAUACCCCACAUUUUCCCAUUUGUACCUUGACUAUUUGUUUGCCUACCUUUCCAUCUUAAAGUCUAUUCUAGACUUCUUGAUAUUUUUCUAGGUGGCCUACUAAAUUUCUAGGACUUUUCUGGCCUUCAGUGAUUAUUUGUAAGCACUUAAUCUUUAAACUACAGAUGAUUCUGAGGUGAAUUGUACUUACAAGUGCUGCACACUUUAAAUAUUUGAAGCCGUUCUUGACAGGAAUCACAUACAGAGAUGUUAAUGAACCAUCAAAAACCUGCAGCCUUGGUAGCCUGAGAUUCGAUUGGUUACCUAACCAAUUAUUCCUAGUCACAUUCCCCUACAAUACCACAAUUUUAUCACAGGGAUUUAAAAAGGGAGGAUUUCUAAGUCCAUGAAUUAAGUCAUCAAAUUAGAGCAGAGGCAAUAAGCGUGGCUUGGAGAUGUGAAAUGAUAUCCCACUCACAGAAGCAGCAAAGGGCAGCUUGGGAGGACCUGAGCUGUUUCCUCAUUGUUUUUCUAUUCUGUCUGCAGUUCAUUGUGUUCUUGAAAGUGUUACUUUUGCAGUACCUAAUGAAUGAUACAUCAAGGCCUGCCAUGAAACUGUAGGGAGAAACUCUAUGGUAUGACUCAUGAGCUGUGCUGAAUUACAGAUCUUUUCUCAUUAGUCUGAUUAAAAACCUAAGCUCAUUAUGGCUCAGGAAGUGAUUUGGUUUCAAUGCCUUUUGGUUAUGUUAUGUUCCUUUUCUUACUUUGCAGGAGCACAUAUUUUGGCUAAGAAAUCAUUUUCUAUUUUAAAUAAUUCUAAAUUUCAACUUUUAAAUGUGUGUUCAUUAUCAUAUAAUUCAAACCUAUAAAGGCUCUUCUUUGUACUUUUAAGAACUAUUAAAAAAAAAUAACAAGUGAUUUG